rnacentral:rRNA from 1 species
UACAGAGGGGGCAAGCGUUGUUCGGAAUUACUGGGCGUAAAGGGCGCGUAGGCGGCCUUCUAAGUCGAACGUGAAAUCCCCGGGCUCAACCCGGGAACUGCGUCCGAUACUGGAAGGCUUGAAUCCGGGAGAGGGAUGUGGAAUUCCAGGUGUAGCGGUGAAAUGCGUAGAUAUCUGGAGGAACACCGGUGGCGAAGGCGACAUCCUGGACCGGUAUUGACGCGUGAGGCGCGAAAGCGUGGGGAGCGAACAGG